GACGAACCGAGCGAACGUUAUUCGGAAUCACUGGGCUUAAAGGGCGCGUAGGCGGCGACCCAAGUCAGAUGUGAAAGUCCUGGGCUUAACCUGGGGACUGCAUUUGAUACUGGGUUGCUUGAAUUCGGGAGAGGAUAGCGGAAUUCCCAGUGUAGAGGUGAAAUUCGUAGAUAUUGGGAAGAACACCGGUGGCGAAGGCGGCUAUCUGGACCGACAUUGACGCUGAGGCGCGAAAAGCUAGGGGAGCAAACGGGG
rnacentral:rRNA from 1 species